rnacentral:rRNA from 1 species
UACGAAGGACCCUAGCGUUACUCGGAAUCACUGGGCGUAAAGCGCGCGUAGGCGGUUUAAUGUGUCAGAUGUGAAAGCCCCGGGCUUAACCUGGGAACAGCAUUUGAAACUGUUGAACUAGAGUACAGAAGAGGAUAGCGGAAUUUCCAGUGUAGAGGUGAAAUUCGUAGAUAUUGGAAAGAACACCAGAGGCGAAGGCGGCUAUCUGGUCUGUAACUGACGCUAAAGUGCGAAAGCGUGGGUAGCAAACAGG